rnacentral:rRNA from 1 species
CGAUAGUGUAUGUUAACGCUAUUGCAGUUAAAAAGCUCGUAGUUGAAUUUCUGGGUGGCUGUCUUGACUAAGGUCUCGCACGGCUAACUCAUCCGCGCCGGAAGCCAGUACAGCAUUGCUUAUUGGUGGAUGCGUGUUUUACUUUGAAGAAAUUAGAGUGUUCCAGGCAGGCUUUGCUUGAAUACUUCAGCAUGGAAUAAUGGAAUAGGACAGGUCAAUUUUAUUGGUUAUUUGACUUGUAAUGAUUAACAGGGACAGUUGGGGUCGCUAGUAUUCGCUAGUCAGAGGUGAAAUUCUUGGAUUUGGCGAAGACUAACUAAUGCGAAGGCAUUCGACAAGGAUGUUUUCAUUAA